rnacentral:misc_RNA from 1 species
GAUGAAGAACGUAGCGAAAUGCGAUAAGUAAUGUGAAUUGCAGAAUUCAGUGAAUCAUCGAAUCUUUGAACGCACAUUGCGCCCGCCAGUAUUCUGGCGGGCAUGCCUGUCCGAGCGUCAUUUCAACCAUCAAGCCCCGGGCUUGUGUUGGGGACCUGCGUCCGACGCAGGCCCUGAAAACCAGUGGCGGGCUCGCUGUCCACACCGAGCGUAGUAACUAACCUCGCUAUGGAGUGGCGCGGGCGCCUGCCGUAAAACCCCAAAUUUCACAAGGUUGACCUCGGAUCAGGUAGGAAUACCCGCUGAACUUAAGCAUAUCAAAAGAGGAGGA